GACGAACGCUGGCGGCGUGGAUUAGGCAUGCAAGUCGAACGGUAUCAUCCUUUCGGGGGUGAGAGAGUGGCGAACUGGUGAGUAACACGUAGGUUAUCUACCCUCAAGACGGGGACAACCCAGGGAAACUUGGGCUAAUACCGGAUGUGAGCAACUUUUAGUUGUUUGAAAGGUGGCGUAAGCUGUCGCUUGGGGAUGAGCCUGCGUCCUAUUAGUUAGUUGGUGAGGUAACGGCUCACCUAGGCAAUGAUAGGUAGGCGGCCUUAACGGGUGGUCGCCCACACUGGGAUUGAGAUACGGCCCAGACUCCUACGGGAGGCAGCAGUCGAGAAUAGUCUACAAUGGUCGGAAGACUGAUAGUGCGACGCCGCGUGAACGAUGAAUCCCUUCGGGGUGUAAAGUUCUUUUAUAUGUGAGCAGUGCUUCUUAUAUUAACAGUAUGGGGAGAGAGAUAUUAGCAUAUGAAUAAGCAACGGCUAACUCCGUGCCAGCAGCCGCGGUUAAUCUCG
rnacentral:rRNA from 1 species